rnacentral:rRNA from 1 species
UUGGAGGGCAAGUCUGGUGCCAGCAGCCGCGGUAAUUCCAGCUCCAAUAGCGUAUAUUAAAGUUGUUGCAGUUAAAAAGCUCGUAGUUGAAUUUCGGGAUCAGAGUGUCGGUCGUGCCUCGGUACGUACUGGUAUUAUUGGUUCCUACCUUCUGAAGAACCGCGAUGUCAUUAAUUUGGUGUCGUGGGGAAUCAGGACUGUUACUUUGAAAAAAUUAGAGUGUUUAAAGCAGGCUUACGCUUGAAUACAUUAGCAUGGAAUAAUGAAAUAGGACGUUUGAUUCUAUUUUGUUGGUUUCUAGGAUUGACGUAAUGAUUAAUAGGGAUAGUUGGGGGCAUUAGUAUUCAAUUGUCAGAGGUGAAAUUCUUGGAUUUAUCGAAGACUAACUAUUGCGAAAGCAUUUGCCAAGGAUGUUUUCAUUAAUCAAGAACGAAAGUUAGGGGAUCGAAGACGAUCAGAUACCGUCGUAGUCUUAACCAUAAACUAUGCCGACUAGGGAUCGGAUGAUGUUAAUUUUUUAAUGACUUAUUCGGCGCCUUACGGGAAACCAAAGUGUUUGGGUUC